rnacentral:rRNA from 1 species
AGCGAACGCUGGCGGCAGACCUAACACAUGUAAGUCGAACGGACCCUUCGGGGUUAGUGGCGGACGGGUGAGUACCACGUGGGAACGUGCCUUUAGGUUCGGAAUAGCUCCUGGAAACGGGUGGUAAUGCCGAAUGUGCCCUUCGGGGGAAGGAUUUAUCGCCUUUAGAGCGGCCCGCGUCUGAUUAGCUAGUUGGGGAGGUAAUGGCUCACCAAGGCGACGAUCAGUAGCUGGUCUGAGAGGAUGACCAGCCACAUUGGGACUGCCACACGGCCCACACUCCUACGGGCGGGAGCAGUGGGGAAUCUUGCGCAAUGGGCGAAAGCCUGACGCAUCCAUGCCGCGUGGAUGAUGAAGGUCUUAGGAUUGUAAAAUCCUUUCACCGGUGAAGAUAAUGACUGUAGCCGGAGAAGAAGCCCCGGCUAACUUCGUGCCAGCCGCCGCGGUAAUAC